GCUCCGGUAGCUUAGUGGUUAAAGCGUCCGCCUCAGAUGCGGCAGGUCGUGUGUUCGAUCCUCGGUAGAGUCA